rnacentral:lncRNA from 1 species
AAAUUUGGCAUCGUUGUUGGGGAAUAUGUUUAGAAUUUUUAUCAUUUUGGUUCUUAUUUUAUUUUUUUAUAUCACUUACAUUUUAUUUUUCUCUAUCAUUUAUUUUACUUUAUUUUCUUUAGUUAUUUUAUUUUUGUAAAUUUGUUUUUUUUUUGUUUUUUUUAUCAUAAUUUUUGUUUGAGGAAUUUUGUUGGGAAAUUUGUGAAACUAAUUGGGGAAACACUUUGGCUAAGGAAAGAUA